CGCGCAUGCCCAUUACCGGCACCGGUCAAGCAUGUUCUCUGCCAGAAUAAACAGAUGAUAAUGAAGGCCGACAGCUCAAAGAUUCUUGACGAUCACUUGACAGCUGGAAGUCAUGUGGUGCCCACCGUUCCUUCAAAUCUAGAAGAAGUAGUUAUGAGAGGUUGACUGAUUCGCUCUACAUUCCAGAGAGUGGUGGGCUUGUGGAAUUCAUUGCCGCAGAGUGCAGUGGAGGCUGGGACGUUGGAUGCCUUCAAGGCAGAGAUCGACAAAUUCUUGAUCUCAAAAGGCUGCGGGGAGUGUGCAGGGAAGUGGUGUUGAAAUGCCUGCUCAUCAGCCAUGAUUUAAAUGGUGGAGUGG